rnacentral:snoRNA from 1 species
CCCUGCAUUCGUAAGUGAUCGUGGGAUACCCAUGUCAUGGUCUUUGGUAGUGCAGGCAGAGGAAAUGUGGAAGGAACUGUCGUGUGUUUGGAAGGUCUGUACCCUUGCCUUCUGCUUCUGGCAGCCUUCCCACA